GACAUUUUAAAGCCUUUAAUUGUAAAAUUACUACACAGAAUACGCUUAUGAGCAGGGUGCGAACUACGGGGGAGCUAGCGGGAGCUCGGCUCCCCUUAAUAAGACAUGAGCUCCCCUGAAAAUGGGAUUUGUGAAAUUUUGGGGUGGGUCUCUAAAAAUAUUGACAAUGUGUCAUUUUGACGUGCAAUUUCAGUUUUGUGUAAUGUGAUCAUUGUCGAUUAUUAUGUGUACUAUUGCAAAAAUAUCAUUCAUUCAUGCAAGAUGGCGAUUUAAA